UGGGGAAUAUUGCACAAUGGGGGAAACCCGUGAUGCAGCGACGCCGCGUGAGUGAAGAAGUAUUUCGGUAUGUAAAGCUCUAUCAGCAGGGAAGAAAAUGACGGUACCUGAUUAAGAAGCCCCGGCUAACUACGUGCC
rnacentral:rRNA from 1 species